GCCAGUGUAGCUCAGUCGGUAGAGCAACUGAUUCGUAAUCAGUAGGUCAGCGGUUCGAUUCCGCUCACUGGCU
rfam:Gammaproteobacteria bacterium RIFOXYD12_FTLL_61_37 rifoxyd3_full_scaffold_395, whole genome shotgun sequence.